UAUGGUUCAUGCUUCAGAUCAGGUUGAUUCACCAGUGGGUUCUCUCCUGCUAAGGUUCUCUCUCCCUCUCUCGUUUUAUUCACAUUAGUUGUUUAUCUCUCACUGGUUUAGAUUUUGUUUGGAUGUUUAGUUAGAACUUGGUCUUCCAUUUGAAUAUUAUUAAUCGAUGCUUUAUUAUUUUAGUUUAUUGAUUUUGGUUUUCGGGAUUUAACUCGACUUGGGUCUCACCAUGGGUUUUGUUUAAAUCUGAUCUAUGCAUUAGUUUUAGAUGGAUUUGAGACUUACCAUUAUUGCGUACAGGACUAGUAUAUAGGCUUUCAUUGAGUUAUUUUUUCUUUUUCUUUCUUUCUUAAUUUGGGGUUUUGUUGCUAAACACGGUUGUAUAUCAUGUAGAUUAGUGUUAGGGUUCCAUUUCUUUUUCUCUUUAGUUCCAUAGCUUUAUUUAUUGUAGAGUUGUCGUCCUUAAUUGAAUUCUCUUUUAUGGAAAGACAUUUGAGGAAGCAAUUGCUAAGUUAGAAGAAUCGUGGAAGGAAAGCACCCUAGCCUCAUCAUACAACCCCUAAGGGACAACCUCAUCCUUUGGAUUUCUGAUGUGCAGGCUGAUGGCACCAUUUCAUAUGACAUUGGGUUUCAUGGACUUGAUUCUUCAUCUGCGGAUUCAUUUUGUUUAUC